UCGACCUCGUCGCCGGCGGGAGGAACAAGAAGACCAAGCGCACCGCGCCCAAGUCCGACGAUGUCUACCUCAAGCUCCUCGUCAAGGUACAUCACCACUCAUCUCGUAUAGUCAUGUGUCCCCGUUAGAGACGGCGAUGUUUGGUUCGGCAGAUCUGCCCGUGGCUGCGUUGUUGGUUUCUGAAAAAUGCCCUGUGAUUGAAGUCUCGUACUGCCAGCUUAUCAUAGAAGCACCUGAUUGAGGAUUAGCUUGUUGGGGUGGUGUAGUAAGCAUGUGAACUUCAUUAGGUUGGGAAGACUUCAGGGGAAAAUGACUCGUAUUUUGUUCAUUUCUGUUUGGUAGGUGUGCAAUAGGUGUUCUUUCGCGUUAUAAGAAUUGUCCCAUUGUAUGUGUAUGCCGUGGUUUUUAUUUGUGCACGUAUUGUACUUGUGCAGCUGUACCGUUUCUUGGUCAGGAGGACCAAGAGCAGCUUUAACGCUGUUAUCCUCAAGAGGCUCUUCAUGAGCAAGGCCAACCGCCCUCCCAUCUCUCUGCGCCGCCUUGCCAACUUCAUGAAAGGAAAGGUAUGUGGCUGACAGUCCCUUGAACACUUCCCAUCAUUCCAAAAUGUGUUAAGAUUGUUUUAUGUAACUGGCAGAUGAAGUUUGCCUAAUUGUAAACAAUUUAUUAUAGUUGGUGUACAUUUAUGUGGUAGCUUGGGUAUUAUAACCAUGUGGAUGGUUCUGAAAUAGUGUCUUUUAUGGUAACAGGAGGAGAAGAACAUUGCUGUUAUUGUUGGUACAGUCACAGAUGACAAGAGGAUCCAAGAGAUUCCAGCAAUGAAGGUUACCGCACUUAGGUUCACCGAGACAGCAAGGGCUAGGAUUAUCAAUGCUGGUGGGGAGUGCCUCACAUUUGACCAGCUUGCUCUCCGUGCUCCACUUGGCGAGAACACGGUAUGCUUCAGUUCAAUGCGACAACAUGUUUCUGAAACAAUAAUAGUUUGUACAUGUUUGAAAUUGUAACACUUAUCAAUAAUUGUAAGCCUCAUGAACCUAAUAAGCAUGACAAAAAGUGUGUAAAUAACUUUGCUAAUCCUGAUGUUACCCUGAUUGUUUCAGCUGGAUUAUUCUCAUUAAGAUUUGGUAGAAAAGCAAACUUUUCAACCUUUUUUGUUGUUAGUUUCAUUGAUUAUGUAAAUCCUAAUUUCUGGUUCCCAGUGAUGGUAUAAAUUAACCAUGCUAAUACUGAUUUCCUUUGACGAGUAUGAUAAUGUGCUGAGGGAACCAUAUAUCUGCAUUAUUUCUUUCACUCACCUGGAACAUUAAGUUCUUUGUUCUUUUUUGGUUCUGCUAAUUCAAAUGUUAAGCAGCAGCAUGUUGUCUUGAAUGAUGUUUGCAAUGAUGAUACUUUCUACCCAGCUCAUUAUGAAACUUCCCUCUGUGGGUUGUCAUGAUAUGUGCUUUUCCUUUGAAUCUGAGCUCAUUCAAGAAUUUUAUGCUCAGUUUUUUGUACCUUGUUUUUCUUAGCAGCACUAUCUUACUAUUUAUUUAGUUGCCUGAGUUAAUUAGGCAUAACUAGGUCUAUCACCUUGCUGUGAUGAUAAAUUUUCUAAUCCCAGCUCGAUGAGACUUCCCUUUGUGGGUUGUCUGGGAUCAAAAAAAGACCUUACUAUCUGAGCAGGCUUGUGGUUUUGUUAUGUUAGCAAUCUUUUUAAAUGUGCAGUUCAUUCUGUCAUGUGCUGAUUUCAAAACAUUGUGUAGUCUUAAAUGAUUUUUGCAAUGAUGAUACUCUUUUACCCAGCUCAUUAUGAGACUUCCCUCUGUGGGUUGUCAUGAUAUGUGCUUUUCCUUUUGUAUCUGAGCUCAUUUGACAAUUUUGCUGAGUCCUUUGGUAUUUAGUUUUUUUAACAAGCUUCUGUUCUUUUGCCUAACCAUUUAGUUACCUGACACAGCUUGAUUUUGUUCUGCAGUGAUGAUAAAUAUUCUAAUCCCAGCUCUAUGAGACUUCCCUUUGUGGGUUGUCUGGGAUCAUAAAGUUUCCUUGUAUCUGAGCAAAGCUUUUGCAUUCAAUAUUUCAGCAGUCUUGUAUAUUGUGCAAUUUAUCCAGUCCUGUGCUGUAAUAUUACCAUUCUUAGUAGAACAAUCCAUGUCCUGCAUUGUUUAAGCUUCCUUUAAUUUGAUGAUAAGCUGAUGUUGUCAAUGUUGGCCUUCUGUAGGUCCUCCUGAGGGGUCCUAAGAAUGCCCGUGAGGCAGUGAGGCACUUUGGCAAGGCUCCUGGUGUGCCUCACAGCCACACCAAGCCAUAUGUGCGCUCCAAGGGAAGGAAGUUCGAGAAGGCUCGUGGCAGGAGGAACAGCCGUGGGUUCAAGGUCUAAGUCGUUGGCCUUUGCCUGUGUGUGUUGCCAUCAGCAUUGUGCGACAGUUCUGUUUGAGCGAUCGACAGUAAUUAGUAAUCACUUUCUACUGAGAGUAGUAGCACAAUUUGUUGUCCUGGUUAUAAUUUUGAAAGAUAUUUGAAGGAUUCGUGGUGUUACCCGCUUGUUGAGCAAGAAGACAAUGUUCUGUUGCACCUCUUAUCAGAGCUUGGCAUUUAUCAUCCAUGGCCCUUC
rnacentral:lncRNA from 1 species